rnacentral:rRNA from 1 species
UACGAAGGGUGCAAGCGUUACUCGGAAUUACUGGGCGUAAAGCGUGCGUAGGUGGUUUGUUAAGUCUGUUGUGAAAGCCCCGGGCUCAACCUGGGAAUGGCAAUGGAUACUGGCAAGCUAGAGUGCGGUAGAGGGUAGUGGAAUUCCCGGUGUAGCGGUGAAAUGCGUAGAGAUCGGGAGGAACACCAGUGGCGAAGGCGGCUACCUGGACCACAACUGACGCUGGAGGCGCGAAAGCUAGGGGAGCAAACAGG